UCCCCUAGUAACUGCGAGUGAAGCGGGAAGAGCUCAAAUUUGUAAUCUGACGGUCCCUGGCUGUCCGAGUUGUAAUCUGUAGAGGCGUCGUCUGCGUCGGCCCGUGUACAAGUCUCCUGGAAUGGAGCGUCAUAGAGGGUGAGAAUCCCGUCCAUGACACGGACCACCGAUGCUCUGUGAGGUGCCCUCGAAGAGUCGCGUUGUUUGGGAAUGCAGCGCAAAAUGGGUGGUAAAUUCCAUCUAAGGCUAAAUAUUGGCGAGAGACCGAUAGCGAACAAGUACCGUGAGGGAAAGAUGAAAAGCACUUUGAAAAGAGAGUUAAACAGUACGUGAAAUUGUUGAAAGGGAAACGCUUGAAGUCAGUCGUGUCUCGAGGCACUCAGCCUUGCUUCGGCUUGGUGUACUUGCCUUGGGAUGGGUCAACAUCAAUUUUGGUCGGUGGAUAAGGAUGAGGGGAAUGUAGCGUUGUUUCGGCGACGUGUUAUAGCCCCUUGUCGAAUACGUCGACUGGGAUUGAGGACUGCAGCACGCCCUUGUGGCCGGGGGUUCGCCUCACGUAACGUGCUUAGGAUGUUGGCAUAAUGGCUUUAAGCGACCCGUCUUGAAACACGGACCAAGGAGUCUAACAUGCUUGCGAGUGUUCGGGUGGAAAACCCUUGCGCGUAAUGAAAGUGAAAGUUGGGAGCCUCUGUGAGGGGGUGCACCGACGCCCGGCCCUGACGUUCUCUGACGGUGCUGCGGUAGAGCAAGUAUGUUGGGACCCGAAAGAUGGUGAACUAUGCCUGAAUAGGGCGAAGCCAGAGGAAACUCUGGUGGAGGCUCGUAGCGAUUCUGACGUGCAAAUCGAUCGUCAAAUUUGGG
rnacentral:rRNA from 1 species